AUGGCGCCGGCCCGCAAGCGGAGGUCCGCCGCCGAGCCGCCGCUCGUCGUGACCGAGCGCACGACAAGGGGGCGUCCGCCCAAGGAGGAUGGCGACCCCGAGUUCGUCGGGGACCCCAUCCCCGCCGACGAAGCUCGGGCCAAGUUUCCCCACCACUACCACCGCCAGCGCAGGGAUUUCUGCAUCCGCGUUCGUCUGGGCAGAAAUGGGGAGGAGGAGGAGGAGGAGGUGAAGGCACGCUGCCAUUACCGGGCAGCCAAGGUGGAAGGAAUCGUCUAUAACCUUCGUGACGAUGUGCCGCCAUGAAAAUUUGAUGCAUUUCCUCUGACUUUUUCAUGCUACUGUUCUGCCCCCACAACUCAUGUGACCAUUGUUAUGCUUGCUGCGAUGAUUGCCUUUUUUGUUGUUGUUGUUGUUGUUGUUGUUGUUGUUGUUGUUGUUGUUGUUGUUGUUGUUGUUGUUGUUGUUGUUGUUGUUGUUGUUGUUGUUGUUGUUGUUGUUGUUGUUGCUAAUUAUUAG
rnacentral:rRNA from 1 species